AAAUUGACUGUGAUGAAGAGGAGUAAGAAUAUGAAAUAUUAAGAGAGGAAAAUCCAUGGGCUGAAAGGUUUUCUAUAGGAAGUAUUUUGAAGGUAGCUUCGGAGUUGCUUUAGCGAAAUUAAGUAGCUAGAGACGGUGGUUCCUCAUCGUUAAAAUUAAGAGAGUCUUAAAAGCAAUUUUGAGAAAUAAAGGUGGUAACGCGCGCUGUCGUCCUUUGG
rnacentral:ncRNA from 1 species